rnacentral:rRNA from 1 species
GGGNNNUACGAGUGCAMACUUAAAAMCCAAAGGAUNUGACGGUGUCCCACCCAUCUAGAGGAGCCUGUUCUUUAAUCGAUAAUCCUNGAUACACCCUACCGUUUUUUGCUACUCAGUCUGUAUACCUCCGUCGAAAGCUUACCAUUUGAGUGCAAAAAAGUAAGUCUAAUGAUCAUACACCAACACGUCAGGUCAAGGUGCAACCAAUAAAACGGUAAGCAAUGGGCUACAAUCUCUAUAAUAGAACACACGAAAUACUACAUGAAAAACAGUCAUGAAGGCGGAUUUAGCAGUAAAAGAAGAAUAGCGUGCUUCUUUUAACUAGGCCCUGGGACGUGUACACACCGCCCGUCA